UACGUAGGGGGCGAGCGUUGUCCGGAAUCAUUGGGCGUAAAGAGCGUGUAGGCGGUUCGGUAAGUCUGCCGUGAAAACCUGGGGCUCAACCCUGGGCGUGCGGUGGAAACUGUCGAGCUAGAGGAUGGUAGAGGGGAGUGGAAUUCCCGGUGUAGCGGUGAAAUGCGCAGAUAUCGGGAAGAACACCCGUGGCGAAGGCGGCUUUCUGGGACGGUACUGACGCUGAGACGCGAAAGCGUGGGGAGCGAACAGGG
rnacentral:rRNA from 1 species